CUGCGCUUUGCUCUUGGGGCUACCCCAAGCGGCUCAUGCCUGUUUUGAAAGCCAGAUUCCAGCGCCUUUCCAAGGAUGUUGACAACUCUUCGGCCGCUGCAUCUGUGGUCACCUCGACAGGUGGAGUGGCCGGGCCCCUUUUGGGGGCGGGGAUCUCUAGCGCCUCUGCUUCUGAUGAACCUGGCGUCCACAAAAGCCUCCCUUUUCCCAAUUCCUGACCCUUCCCCCACACUCUCGGCACUCUGACAGCGCUGUAUCCUCCCAUCGCCCUCCUCCCCAACACUCAACUUCCCUGGCGAGAUGGCGAAAUGAGCAGGAGAAGAAGAUGCGCGCGGACACACGGCCCCAAACUCCCCCUCGCAGGUCUUUUUCUCUCGCUUUCUCUCCCGCUUGCGCGCACACACACACGGAGAAGCUCCAGGAAGAGAAAGGGGGGGUGGUGGCAAAAAGGGGCCAGAGCGGUGGGAGGGAGAGGGUGAGGGGAGAAGUCGCGGAGAGGACGCCCUCCUUGCCCUGGCCUGAGCGGCGGGAUCUCCAAACAGAACCCGCCGGCUCAGCUCAACCCCUGGGCUGCCAACCCCAAGGCUGGAGCCGAGAUCAGUCAAGGCGGCGUCUUCCCGCCUUGAUUUUCCCAUCCCCACUCAAAGGCCAGCGCUUGGAAGUGACCGGGAAAUAGAGGUGUCUCUGAGUCCAAGCCAUUUGUAGAUCCAGGGAAAGAGAGGGAAGGCCCUUUGGCUUCUCUUCUCUCCAUUUAACCCUAUUCCAACCAGGAUCUGGACGGUUAGCCCCUGAGCCCCAGCGAACCCCCCAGGGAACCCUCAGCUCUGAUUUCAUCACCCAGAGGGACAGUGCAAUAAACCAGUGAGUACAGUCCAGGGAACUGAGCCCCACCGGAGUCAGCCACGGAGAAGCCCUUUCACUCCCUAGACUCUGUGGGUUUGUGGUUACGGCUCUCUUUUGCCCUUUUAUGGGAAAAUCCACCAGCCAGAGGAGGCAGGGAUUUCCCGCAGGGGGUCAGAUAUUUUGUCCUCUCUUGGGCGACCUUUGCUUCCUCCUCUUCUUCAGAAUCUUAACCCCAAAUUGCCUGCUAACCAGAAUCUGUUCCUUUGAGAGAACACUGACACGGAGAGAUAGUUCUAGAUUCCACAGUUUCAUUCUCAAGGAAGGAGAGAAGAAGAGACAGUGCAGACCAGGUCUGACCAGCCAGGGGCCCCCAUGUGACACCGGGGUCAGCCCAGGAUUCCACCUGACCUGCCCCUAUGUGCUCAAAGGAGAAAGGUUUUUGUUUUUGUUUUUGAGAGAUGUGGGAGGGGGCAGAUGGGCCUUGGCUGUCACAACAGGCUAUCCAGCUCACAGUCCAAGACACUGUCACUUUUCUUUCUUUAGGGCUGGGUGCCCAGGCACUGGGCACAGGCCCAGAGGAGAGGUCUUCACCUGGGCUGUGAGAAAUUCUGAAACUCUACUCCUUUUCCAAAUCCUGAAGCAGCUUCUGCUUUUCCAUUCUGCAUCUUUUAAAAUUCAGGACAAAGUUUUCCUGGUUGAGAAGUGGAACAGGUCUUUCCCGGAGCACUUCCACUUCCCGCCCGGAGGCUGCGCUAGCCAGGAGGCCAAGGCUGCGGUGAGGUCGGGUCCCACCAGGGCUGAGGAAGCCCCC
rnacentral:lncRNA from 9 species